GACGAACGCUGGCGGCGUGCUUAACACAUGCAAGUCGAACGUGAUUUUUGUGGAAAUUCUUUCGGGAAUGGAAAUGAAAUGAAAGUGGCGAACGGGUGAGUAACACGUGAGCAACCUACCUUACACAGGGGGAUAGCCGUUGGAAACGACGAUUAAUACCGCAUGAGACCACAGAAUCGCAUGAUAUAGGGGUCAAAGAUUUAUCGGUGUAAGAAGGGCUCGCGUCUGAUUAGCUAGUUGGAAGGGUAAAGGCCUACCAAGGCGACGAUCAGUAGCCGGUCUGAGAGGAUGAACGGCCGCAUUGGAACUGAGACACGGUCCAAACUCCUACGGGAGGCAGCAGUGGGGAAUAUUGCACAAUGGGGGGAACCCUGAUGCAGCGACGCCGCGUGAGCGAAGAAGGUUUUCGAAUCGUAAAGCUCUGUCCUAUGAGAAGAUAAUGACGGUAUCAUAGGAGGAAGCCCCGGCUAAAUACGUGCCAGCAGCCGCGGUAAUACGUAUGGGGCGAGCGUUGUCCGGAAUUAUUGGGCGUAAAGGGUACGUAGGCGGUUUUUUAAGUCAGGUGUGAAAGCGUGAGGCUUAACCUCAUUAAGCACUUGAAACUGGAAGACUUGAGUGAAGGAGAGGAAAGUGGAAUUCCUAGUGUAGCGGUGAAAUGCGUAGAUAUUAGGAGGAAUACCGGUGGCGAAGGCGACUUUCUGGACUUUUACUGACGCUCAGGUACGAAAGCGUGGGGAGCAAACAGG
rnacentral:rRNA from 1 species